rnacentral:rRNA from 1 species
AUUGAACGCUGGCGGAAUGCUUUACGCAUGCAAGUCGAACGGCAGCACGGACUUCGGUCUGGUGGCGAGUGGCGAACGGGUGAGUAAUACAUCGGAACGUGCCCAGUCGUGGGGGAUAACGUAGCGAAAGCUACGCUAAUACCGCAUACGAUCUAAGGAUGAAAGCGGGGGAUCGCAAGACCUCGCGCGAUUGGAGCGGCCGAUGGCAGAUUAGGUAGUUGGUGGGGGAAAGGCUCACCAAGCCGACGAUCUGUAGCUGGUCUGAGAGGACGACCAGCCACACUGGGACUGAGACACGGCCCAGACUCCUACGAGAGGCAGCAGUGGGGAAUUUUGGACAAUGGGCGCAAGCCUGAUCCAGCCAUUCCGCGUGCAGGAUGAAGGCCCUCGGGUUGUAAACUGCUUUUGUACGGAACGAAAAGGCUCUGGUUAAUACCUGGGGCUCAUGACGGUACCGUAAGAAUAAGCACCGGCUAACUACGUGCCAGCAGCCGCAGUAA